rnacentral:rRNA from 1 species
CAAAGGUUUGGUCCUGGCCUUCCUAUUAGUUAUUAACAGAAUUACACAUGCAAGCCUCCACAUCCCGGUGAAGAUGCCCUCUAAAUCCGUAAACGAUUAAAAGGAGCGGGCAUCAGGCACACUAAAUAAGUAGCCCAUAACGCCUUGCUCAACCACACCCCCACGGGAUACAGCAGUGAUAAAAAUUAAGCCAUGAACGAAAGUUUGACUAAGCCAUGUUAAUAUUAAGAGUUGGUAAAUUUCGUGCCAGCCACCGCGGUCAUACGAUUAACCCAAAUUAAUAGGCUCACGGCGUAAAACGUGCUAAGGAUUACAAAACACUAAAGUUAAAAUUUAACCAGGCUGUAAAAAGCUACUGUUAAUAUAAAAUAUACCACGAAAGUGACUUUAUCAUCUCCAACAACACGAUAGCUGGGACCCAAACUGGGAUUAGAUACCCCACUAUGCCCAGCCCUAAACACAAACAAUUUACACAACAAAAU